AUAAUGAGAUGACAUCACACCCAGCCCAAUUAGAAUAAGGCAACACAGCAGGAUGGUAUAGCCCUCCCCUGUCUUUGCUAGGAACAACCUUAGACAAGAGCCCUGUGGGGUGGUAGCUGCUUCUCUUCACCUUUGUUCCCUGCUAUUCCUCCUUUCUCCUCUGACCUCUCCAUACCACCUUUCAUCCUGAGCCUCUUCCCCUUCAUCUCCCAUUUCUUCUACAGGGAGACUCCCUGGGGGCUGGUAGCCCAAAGCUGCCACUACAGCCGCCAUGGGGGAUUCAAUACCUCAUUCCUGGGUACAGGUAAGUAGUCACUUUUCUUAUUCUCCAAUCGAAUAGGUCACACACACACUACUACAGUCUCCCUAGAUGCCUGGUAUUUCCACAGGCAACCAAGAACGGAAGCAGGGGGAACAGGAAGCAGAGGAUAGGUGAGGUCUACACCUCCCCCUUAACAGCUGCCAGCACCUUCUGACACUGCCUAACAUUACUCUCAGAUGCUUCCUCCUAAGUCUGUGUGAACUGGAUACCAGUUUUCCCACACAUCUUUCUACCUAACAUUGGAUAAACCUUCUUCCUUGUGGGUUGAACUCUGGUGCUUCCCUCUGCCGUGCUCUGAGUACUGAAGUUUGGACACAGUGUUAACUGUCCCAGCCUUCUAACCCAGCAGGUGUUCUGUACAGUAAAACCUGGCACAGCACGCACACCCUUGAAGAACUUCUAACCAUAACUCCCUUUAGCAGCUCUAACACAUGCUUCAUCUCCCUGCCCAUCAGGUCGGCCAGUGAGGAUCAGGUCUUGUUACAGGAUGGGUCUGGGGAGGAACCUACGCAUACAGUUGCUCCAAGGGCCCAGGCUCCACCGGCCCAGUCCUGGAUGGUGGGUGGGGACAUACUGAACGCCAGGGUCAUUCGAAACCUGCAGGAACGCCGCAACACCAGGCCUUGGUGACCACAACCAAAGCUUGGCCCUCAUAAUGGAUGUACUCAUUCAUUCAUUCAUUCAACAGGCCUGUCAGCUUCAGAUCCUUUGUAUCUUAUUUUUAACCAGAGCAAUAAAAAUAUUUAUUUGUUAUCACUAUAGCUACUGAAA
rnacentral:lncRNA from 1 species